ensembl:lncRNA novel transcript, antisense to PCSK1
AAAGUAGGAAAGAAUUUAGCAAAGAUAUUGUAUCAGGAAAAUAAAACAAAAUCACUCCAGUUAUUUUAACAGACAAAACGUCAUAUAGGAAGUUGGUGUUAGAGGUCUGAAAAGGCAAGUAGGAACAUGGACAUAAUAUGGAGAAAGUGAGUGCAGCCUUCACCUCUAGGGAUGGGAGAAACACAGGGAAGAAGCUGGGGUCAUUAGAAUCCAGAAGUUUAGAGGAGGAGUCUUUUCAAGUUAAACUCAAACUUCCCAGGAGAAGGCAGCUGAUUAGUUGGCACUGGUGUUUCUGUGGGUGUAUGAGGAGGAGGCUUCUGCAAGGGAGAAAAACAACUGGAAACUGGAACAACGCAGGCUGCCAGGGCGAAAAUGCACUGCUGGGUGAUGCUGCAGGAACAGGAAACAAACAGGAAGGACUCGGUCACUUCCCUUUUCUCGAGUUUCCCGUCUCCCUCUAGCACCCUUUGGCAGAGUCUAGCAUGGCACCAUCAGGCCAAGCUGAAACGUGGUUUGCAGAGAGCCAGCCCCAGCAUCACAGAGUCUCCACCUGACUGCAUUGCUUCAUGGCACUG